rnacentral:tRNA from 1 species
GCCUCGGUGGCUCAGUGGUAGAGCGGCUGCCUCGUAAGCAGCAUGUCGGGGGUUCAAAUCCCCCCCGGGGCU